rnacentral:rRNA from 1 species
AUUGAACGCUGGCGGCAUGCUCUACACAUGCAAGUCGAACGGUAACAGGCCGCAAGGUGCUGACGAGUGGCGAACGGGUGAGUAAUGCAUCGGAACGUGCCCAGUCGUGGGGGAUAACUACUCGAAAGAGUAGCUAAUACCGCAUACGAUCUAUGGAUGAAAGCGGGGGACCGUAAGGCCUCGCGCGAUUGGAGCGGCCGAUGUCAGAUUAGGUAGUUGGUGGGGUAAAGGCUCACCAAGCCAACGAUCUGUAGCUGGUCUGAGAGGACGACCAGCCACACUGGGACUGAGACACGGCCCAGACUCCUACGGGAGGCAGCAGUGGGGAAUUUUGGACAAUGGGCGCAAGCCUGAUCCAGCAAUGCCGCGUGCAGGAAGAAGGCCUUCGGGAUGUAAACUGCUUUUGUACGGAACGAAACGGCUCUGGUUAAUACCCGGGGCUAAUGACGGUACCGUAAGAAUAAGCACCGGCUAACUACGUG